GACGAACCGUGCGAACGUUGUUCGGAAUCACUGGGCUUAAAGGGCGCGUAGGCGGGCUGUCAAGUCUGGGGUGAAAUCCCGCGGCUCAACCGCGGAACUGCCUCAGAUACUGACGGCCUCGAGGGGGGUAGGGGCAUGCGGAACUGUAGGUGGAGCGGUGAAAUGCGUUGAUAUCUACAGGAACUCCGGUGGCGAAAGCGGCGUGCUGGACCUCUUCUGACGCUGAGGCGCGAAAGCUAGGGGAGCAAACGGG
rnacentral:rRNA from 1 species